ACAUGCUUACAACAUAGUGUUAAUGCACCAAAUCCCAUUAGAACUCUGUAGUUAAGCACGCUCGGGCUAGAGUAGCACUGGGAUAGGUGACCACCUGGGAAGUCCUAGUGUUUUACAUGCC
rfam:Picea glauca, whole genome shotgun sequence.